rnacentral:RNase_P_RNA from 1 species
CAAGCAAGCUGGACAGCCGCGCGGACGGGGCGAAAGCCCCAUCUGUGAGGAAAGUCCGGGCUCCAUAGGGCAAGGAUAACGGGUAACACCCGCCGGGGGCGACCCCAGGAAAAGUGCAACAGAGAUAUACCGCCGAAUGUAAUCGGUAAGGGUGGAAAGGCGAGGUAAGAGCUCACCCGUUGGCGUGUGAAAGCGACCAACGCUGUAAACUCUAUCCGGAGCAACGCCGUGGAGGGACACAUAGGUCGGCCCGACCGUCCCGGGGAGGCGGCUUGAGCGUAUCGGCAACGGUGCGUCGAGAUAGAUGGCUGUCUUGAAUGACAGAACCCGGCUUACAGGCUUACUUGCACC